CAGGUCAGGCAGCAUCCAUGGAAAUAAACCGCUUGUAAAAAUAGAAUUGCUGAAAACACUCAGCAGGUCUGGCAGAAAAAAGAAACAGUUUACUUUUCAGGUUGAAAAUUCUUCAUUCGAACUGAGAACCUCUGGUAUAAAAAUGAGCAAGAUAUAGAUAUAUGUGUUUCUUUCUUCCAUAAGGUGUGUCCACAGUAAAACUUAAGACACAAAACCUUGACUGGUCAAUGCUUUUAAUACCAUAUAAAUAAAGUAGAAAUACAUUGCACAUUGUUUGCAACCAGAAAAAUCACAAAAAGACACAUAAGCAGUAAGAGGGCAACUUUAUUGAAUAGUACACUUUGAAUGCGAGUGACCUGAAAAGUAUGUUUGUGUCCUGUUCUUUAAGUGAUGCCAUUUACAGCACCAAAGUGAUUAACCUCCAGUAAGAGUGAGUCUAAGUAACUCAUUGAGGCUUGCGAUAACACUGCUAUCUCGCAAUGUAGGACCGUAGAAUUGGACCUUCCUACAACCUGUAUUUUUAAUAUUGAUUUUAAAAUGUUCUUAAGAAAUCAUCUAUCCCAGAUUACCUAUUGAUUUUAUAUAUGAAGAUCUCAUUACAUAGGCGGCAACUUAAAAAAUAACUACUGAACCUUUGCAUAAAUCCUUUAAUUGAAUUUACAAAGCCUGUGGCUCUACAUUUUUUAAUUAAAUCCAUUUCUUUCAAGUGUUGGUUUUAAUUUGCACAUUCUGAAGUAGCUGUGUCCUAGAUAAACUGCCAUUGAUCCUUAUUAAACCUAACCUCUGGGCUUUCUGUGAAAAUAAAAGGGAAAAUUUGAAGCAUUCAUGUUGUGCUCUCGACAAGAUGGCAUUCCAAAAAAAUAGAAGAGACUCCCAGAAAUGAAUUGUUAGUUUGGCAGGGACAAAGCUUUCCUGCUUGUAAGUGAUUACAAAGUUAACUAUUAAUAGACCAUAAAUUUGGAAGAACAUUGAGUGAAAACUACAUUGUUGAUCAGAUUGCCCCUGUAUCUGGCCAAGUAUUUAACGUGUAGGGAGUACAUACAGUAUAUCUUUUGUGUGCUCCAUUCUCUGUCAGAUCUCGUAGCGUGAGCCGUUGAACAUAUCAGUUUCAUAUUACUUGAGGACAUGGGUAAAGCAGAUGAUGAACAUGGCAACUCUUCGUUCUACUCCACCCAUGCAAAAUGACAUCACUGUUUUCUCUUAAAGGCACAGGCAUUACCAGGGUGAAUCCACUCAAGAUGAUCUGCUUGACUAUUU